AUUGAACGCUGGCGGCAGGCCUAACACAUGCAAGUCGAGCGGCAGCGGGAAAGUAGCUUGCUACUUUUGCCGGCGAGCGGCGGACGGGUGAGUAAUGCCUGGGAAAUUGCCCAGUCGUGGGGGAUAACAGUUGGAAACGACUGCUAAUACCGCAUACGCCCUACGGGGGAAAGCAGGGGACCUUCGGGCCUUGCGCGAUUGGAUAUGCCCAGGUGGGAUUAGCUAGUUGGUGAGGUAAUGGCUCACCAAGGCGACGGUCCCUAGCUGGUCUGAGAGGAUGAUCAGCCACACUGGAACUGAGACACGGUCCAGACUCCUACGGGAGGCAGCAGUGGGGAAUAUUGCACAAUGGGGGAAACCCUGAUGCAGCCAUGCCGCGUGUGUGAAGAAGGCCUUCGGGUUGUAAAGCACUUUCAGCGAGGAGGAAAGGUUGAUGCCUAAUACGUAUCAACUGUGACGUUACUCGCAGAAGAAGCACCGGCUAACUCCGUGCCAGCAGCCGCCGCCGUAA
rnacentral:rRNA from 1 species